rnacentral:lncRNA from 13 species
CACACACACACAGAUACAUAUACCCCCCACCACACACAAAUACACACACCCCCACAGACACACCCCCCACAGUACACACAGACACACACAGAGACACAUACAAACCCCCCCACACCACACACCACACACACACAGACACACACACACCUCCUCACAGACACACGCUACACACAUAGACACAGACAUACAGACACACUACACAGACAUACACACAGGCACAUACACAACCCCCCACACCACAUACACAGAGACAGACACACACCACACACACAUACACACACUACACACACACAAAACAGAGACACACCACACACACCGCAAAGACACACAUACACUACACAAUACACACAGACAUACAUGCCACACACAUGCCAUGAACAGACACACACACGCCACAUAUACCCACCACACUGGCACACAUAUACUACAUGACACACACAGACACACACACUAUACACAAGACACUAUACACAGACACACACACCACACACACACAUACUACACAACACACACAGACACACUAUACACACAGGCACACACCACAUGCCACACACAGAUACACACCACAUGCAAACUACACACACAAGCACAGUAUACACAGACACAUCACACACCCCUGCUAUGCACACCACACACAGACACACACUUUAUAUAGGCACACACACACUACACACAAACCACACACCACACACACACACAUCACACACACUACACACAGACACACAUCACACACACUACACACAGACACACAGACACAUACUACAUACAGAGACACAUACACUACACACAGACACACUAGACACACAGACACACACCACACAGCACACACACCACACACACAGACACACACCACACACACAUCACACACACAUCAUACAAUACACCCCCCCACAGACACACACCACACAGCACACACACCACACACACAGACACACACCACACACACAUCACACACACAUCAUACAAUACACCCCCCCACAGACACACACCACAGACACCACACACACACCCACACACAGACACACACACCAGGCACACACCACACACAUACAGACAUGCACACAGAAACACAGACACACAUAGAGACAGAUAUACAAACACACACCACACCACACACACAGACACACACAGAGAUACACACAGACACACCACACAGUCACAUGCAGAGACACACACACCACACACAGACACACAUACCACACAGGCACACACAGAGAUACACACAGACUCACCACACAUGCAGAUAUGCACGCACCACACACGCACAUACCACACACAGACACACACAGAUACACACAGACUCACCACACACAGUCACAUACAGAGAUGCACACACCACAUACGCACACCUCACACAUAGACACACACACCACACACCAUACACCCACACACACACACAGGACAGCCAGAUCCAUCUGCUGCUUAGGGUACUCUACACACCCAGUGUCUCACCCAGCUUCCCACUUCUCAUGUCACCAGCUGCCCUGAGAGCUC